rnacentral:rRNA from 1 species
AUGAACGCUAGCGGCGUGCCUUAUGCAUGCAAGUCGAACGGUUCCGAUUUAUCGGGAUAGUGGCGAACGGGUGAGUAACGCGUAAGUAACCUGCCCUCAAGUAGGGGAUAACUCUGAGAAAUUGGAGCUAAUACCUUAUGUGGUGAUGGAGAUAGUACUUCAUCACUAAAGCCUUAGGGCGCUUGAGGAUGGGCUUGCGUCCGAUUAGCUAGUUGGUAGGGUAAUGGCUUACCAAGGCGAUGAUCGGUAGCUGGUUUGAGAGGAUGGUCAGCCACACUGGGAUUGAGAACGGCCCAGACUCCUACGGGAGGCAGCAGCAAGGAAUAUUGUGCAAUGGGCGAAAGCCUGACACAGCGACGCCGCGUGGGGGAUG